UGGAAAGAUGAAUCAAAGAAGGUAAUAAUCCUGUAGUCGAAAAUGUUGUCUCUCUUGAGUGGAUCCUGAGUACGACGGAGCACGUGAAAUUCCGUCGGAAUCUGGGAGGACCAUCUCCUAAGGCUAAAUACUCUCUAGUGACCGAUAGUGAACCAGUACCGUGAGGGAAAGGUGAAAAGCACCCCGGAAGGGGAGUGAAAUAGAACCUGAAACCGUGUGCUUACAAGUAGUCAGAGCCCGUUAAUGGGUGAUGGCGUGCCUUUUGUAGAAUGAACCGGCGAGUUACGAUUUGAUGCAAGGUUAAGCAGUAAAUGUGGAGCCGUAGCGAAAGCGAGUCUGAAUAGGGCGUUUAGUAUUUGGUCGUAGACCCGAAACCAGGUGAUCUACCCUUGGUCAGGUUGAAGUUCAGGUAACACUGAAUGGAGGACCGAACCGACUUACGUUGAAAAGUGAGCGGAUGAACUGAGGGUAGCGGAGAAAUUCCAAUCGAACCUGGAGAUAGCUGGUUCUCUCCGAAAUAGCUUUAGGGCUAGCCUCAAGUGAUGAUUAUUGGAGGUAGAGCACUGUUUGGACGAGGGGCCCCUCUCGGGUUACCGAAUUCAGACAAACUCCGAAUGCCAAUUAAUUUAACUUGGGAGUCAGAACAUGGGUGAUAAGGUCCGUGUUCGAAAGGGAAACAGCCCAGACCACCAGCUAAGGUCCCAAAAUAUAUGUUAAGUGGAAAAGGAUGUGGCGUUGCCCAGACAACUAGGAUGUUGGCUUAGAAGCAGCCAUCAUUUAAAGAGUGCGUAAUAGCUCACUAGUCGAGUGACACUGCGCCGAAAAUGUACCGGGGCUAAACAUAUUACCGAAGCUGUGGAUUGUCCUUUGGACAAUGGUAGGAGAGCGUUCUAAGGGCGUUGAAGCAUGAUCGUAAGGACAUGUGGAGCGCUUAGAAGUGAGAAUGCCGGUGUGAGUAGCGAAAGACGGGUGAGAAUCCCGUCCACCGAUUGACUAAGGUUUCCAGAGGAAGGCUCGUCCGCUCUGGGUUAGUCGGGUCCUAAGCUGAGGCCGACAGGCGUAGGCGAUGGAUAACAGGUUGAUAUUCCUGUACCACCUAUAAUCGUUUUAAUCGAUGGGGGGACGCAGUAGGAUAGGCGAAGCGUGCGAUUGGAUUGCACGUCUAAGCAGUAAGGCUGAGUAUUAGGCAAAUCCGGUACUCAUUAAGGCUGAGCUGUGAUGGGGAGAAGACAUUGUGUCUUCGAGUCGUUGAUUUCACACUGCCGAGAAAAGCCUCUAGAUAGAAAAUAGGUGCCCGUACCGCAAACCGACACAGGUAGUCAAGAUGAGAAUUCUAAGGUGAGCGAGCGAACUCUCGUUAAGGAACUCGGCAAAAUGACCCCGUAACUUCGGGAGAAGGGGUGCUCUUUAGGGUUAACGCCCAGAAGAGCCGCAGUGAAUAGGCCCAAGCGACUGUUUAUCAAAAACACAGGUCUCUGCUAAACCGUAAGGUGAUGUAUAGGGGCUGACGCCUGCCCGGUGCUGGAAGGUUAAGAGGAGUGGUUAGCUUCUGCGAAGCUACGAAUCGAAGCCCCAGUAAACGGCGGCCGUAACUAUAACGGUCCUAAGGUAGCGAAAUUCCUUGUCGGGUAAGUUCCGACCCGCACGAAAGGCGUAACGAUUUGGGCACUGUCUCAACGAGAGACUCGGUGAAAUCAUAGUACCUGUGAAGAUGCAGGUUACCCGCGACAGGACGGAAAGACCCCGUGGAGCUUUACUGUAGCCUGAUAUUGAAAUUCGGCACAGCUUGUACAGGAUAGGUAGGAGCCUUUGAAACGUGAGCGCUAGCUUACGUGGAGGCGCUGGUGGGAUACUACCCUAGCUGUGUUGGCUUUCUAACCCGCACCACUUAUCGUGGUGGGAGACAGUGUCAGGCGGGCAGUUUGACUGGGGCGGUCGCCUCCUAAAAGGUAACGGAGGCGCUCAAAGGUUCCCUCAGAAUGGUUGGAAAUCAUUCAUAGAGUGUAAAGGCAUAAGGGAGCUUGACUGCGAGACCUACAAGUCGAGCAGGGUCGAAAGACGGACUUAGUGAUCCGGUGGUUCCGCAUGGAAGGGCCAUCGCUCAACGGAUAAAAGCUACCCCGGGGAUAACAGGCUUAUCUCCCCCAAGAGUUCACAUCGACGGGGAGGUUUGGCACCUCGAUGUCGGCUCAUCGCAUCCUGGGGCUGUAGUCGGUCCCAAGGGUUGGGCUGUUCGCCCAUUAAAGCGGUACGCGAGCUGGGUUCAGAACGUCGUGAGACAGUUCGGUCCCUAUCCGUCGUGGGCGUAGGAAAUUUGAGAGGAGCUGUCCUUAGUACGAGAGGACCGGGAUGGACAUACCUCUGGUGUACCAGUUGUCGUGCCAACGGCAUAGCUGGGUAGCUAUGU
rnacentral:rRNA from 1 species